UCUAGCCCGAAUAGCUUGAUUAGAUCUGCGACUCCAGUUUCAUCAAUACUGAAGACUUCUAGAAUUGUGCAUGUUGGUCAUGUCAAUGGGUUUACUCUGGUUGUUUUCGAGAAAAGAAUGGAAACUGUUUCCUACUUUGAGCAGUUUCAACUUCCAGCAGACUGUCAGUCUCAUACCAACAAUAAACCAUUUAUGGAGUUCCUUGAGCCUUUGGUGGAGCAAAAGCCAAUGGGAUUUGAGAAGAAGAUUACUUAUUUGCCUAAGUUUAUCAAUGCUGCCUCAAAGAAGCGGUUAGUGUACAUCGAUGUUGGGGCAGGGGAACAUCUGAACUCCAGUGCUAAAAGUUGGUUCUUGCCAUCGUAUCCUGUGGAUCGCAAAGCUUUUAAUGUUUAUUUUGUUGAUCAUAACACUUCAGUCAUGCUAUCUUAUGUCAAGAGGCCUGGUAUCACCUUUGUUUAUCAUCCAGACCUCGCUGGGAGUAAGGCUAAAGCCAAUCCUGAUACUUAUCAAGAUCCAAAUCCAUAUGGUGAGGAUGAUGGUUUCGACUUUCUUCUCUGGUUUAAAGAAACUGUGCACUUUGCAGAUUUCGUGGUUCUGAAGAUGAAUGCCGGAGAAGUAGAACUGAAAUUUCUCACCGAGUUGUUCAAAAGUGGAACCAUAUGCUUUGUUGAUGAGCUCUUUCUUCGCUGCUCAAAUCGUGCAGAUGCCAAAGAUGCAUCGGGUGGAAGCUGCAUGGACAUCUUCAAGAGUCUCAGAAGCAGUGGUGUGUUUGUUCAUCAGUGGUGGGAAGACUAAAAUCCAUUGUUGUUGAUGUUGUCUUCCAUAAACUAUCAUUGUGGUUUCCUUUUCAAGUGUUGUUGCUGCGUCUUCUUGUUUGUUUAUGUUCUGCAUCCAAGUUGCUUUGUGGUUGGGCACUUGUGCUAGUUAUGCUAAAUAAACAACCUCGAACUUUCUAUGUUAUUGAAUGAACCGUGUUGUCUGUUGUGUUCUUAAUUUGUUACUUCUUAGUUCUUAUGUGCUCCUCGACCAUUCGACACCAAAUCAAGGCUCAAAUUCCUCGAUGGUGUUACGAACCUAUGAAGCUGAAGAUGCUGAAUGAUCAGCAGGCUCAUAAGCUCUAGGAGAAUCCAACCUCAGCUGCAACUUUCAGCGAAUGAGGGCACAUUAUAUAAAGGGAUGUAAUGAAUGUUACACAACCAAUUCUCGAGAUGACAGCUUAAUUGAAAGCGACAACCAAUUCCAUGGCCCGACUGUAAGGGCGAGAAAACGUGACUCACUUCGUAUAAUUUGAAAUGUAAAAUUUGCAAAAUAACUGAACAUAAACACAGUUUUUAAAUAGGGGAUUGCUACUUUCCCUCUUCAGUAAUUAAUAUAUACCAUUUAUCCCCAUGCUAUUUUUAUAAUGGCCAAAAAUCACUCUGAUGGCAUAAAUUUACAAUAUUAUUUCAUCAAUACUGAAGACUUCUAGAAUUGUGCAUGUUGGUCAUGUCAAUGGGUUUACUCUGGUUGUUUUCGAGAAAAGAAUGGAAACUGUUUCCUACUUUGAGCAGUUUCAACUUCCAGCAGACUGUCAGUCUCAUACCAACAAUAAACCAUUUAUGGAGUUCCUUGAGCCUUUGGUGGAGCAAAAGCCAAUGGGAUUUGAGAAGAAGAUUACUUAUUUGCCUAAGUUUAUCAAUGCUGCCUCAAAGAAGCGGUUAGUGUACAUCGAUGUUGGGGCAGGGGAACAUCUGAACUCCAGUGCUAAAAGUUGGUUCUUGCCAUCGUAUCCUGUGGAUCGCAAAGCUUUUAAUGUUUAUUUUGUUGAUCAUAACACUUCAGUCAUGCUAUCUUAUGUCAAGAGGCCUGGUAUCACCUUUGUUUAUCAUCCAGACCUCGCUGGGAGUAAGGCUAAAGCCAAUCCUGAUACUUAUCAAGAUCCAAAUCCAUAUGGUGAGGAUGAUGGUUUCGACUUUCUUCUCUGGUUUAAAGAAACUGUGCACUUUGCAGAUUUCGUGGUUCUGAAGAUGAAUGCCGGAGAAGUAGAACUGAAAUUUCUCACCGAGUUGUUCAAAAGUGGAACCAUAUGCUUUGUUGAUGAGCUCUUUCUUCGCUGCUCAAAUCGUGCAGAUGCCAAAGAUGCAUCGGGUGGAAGCUGCAUGGACAUCUUCAAGAGUCUCAGAAGCAGUGGUGUGUUUGUUCAUCAGUGGUGGGAAGACUAAAAUCCAUUGUUGUUGAUGUUGUCUUCCAUAAACUAUCAUUGUGGUUUCCUUUUCAAGUGUUGUUGCUGCGUCUUCUUGUUUGUUUAUGUUCUGCAUCCAAGUUGCUUUGUGGUUGGGCACUUGUGCUAGUUAUGCUAAAUAAACAACCUCGAACUUUCUAUGUUAUUGAAUGAACCGUGUUGUCUGUUGUGUUCUUAAUUUGUUACUUCUUAGUUCUUAUGUGCUCCUCGACCAUUCGACACCAAAUCAAGGCUCAAAUUCCUCGAUGGUGUUACGAACCUAUGAAGCUGAAGAUGCUGAAUGAUCAGCAGGCUCAUAAGCUCUAGGAGAAUCCAACCUCAGCUGCAACUUUCAGCGAAUGAGGGCACAUUAUAUAAAGGGAUGUAAUGAAUGUUACACAACCAAUUCUCGAGAUGACAGCUUAAUUGAAAGCGACAACCAAUUCCAUGGCCCGACUGUAAGGGCGAGAAAACGUGACUCACUUCGUAUAAUUUGAAAUGUAAAAUUUGCAAAAUAACUGAACAUAAACACAGUUUUUAAAUAGGGGAUUGCUACUU
rnacentral:lncRNA from 1 species